UGCCGCGUGCAGGAUGAAGGCCUUCGGGUUGUAAACUGCUUUUGUACGGAACGAAAAGACUCCUUCUAAUACAGGGGGUCCAUGACGGUACCGUAAGAAUAAGCACCGGCUAACUACGUGCCAGCAGCCGCGGUAAUACGUAGGGUGCAAGCGUUAAUCGGAAUUACUGGGCGUAAAGCGUGCGCAGGCGGUUAUGUAAGACAGAUGUGAAAUCCCCGGGCUCAACCUGGGAACUGCAUUUGUGACUGCAUAGCUAGAGUACGGUAGAGGGGGAUGGAAUUCCGCGUGUAGCAGUGAAAUGCGUAGAUAUGCGGAGGAACACCGAUGGCGAAGGCAAUCCCCUGGACCUGUACUGACGCUCAUGCACGAAAGCGUGGGGAGCAAACAGGAUUAGAUACCCUGGUAGUCCACGCCCUAAACGAUGUCAACUGGUUGUUGGGUCUUCACUGACUCAGUAACGAAGCU
rnacentral:rRNA from 1 species